GGUAGAUUUCGUGCCAGCCACCGCCGGUCAUACGAAAGACCCCAAGUUAAUAUUCUACCGGCGUCAAGAGUGCUUAAAUAUUUAUCAAAUAGAGCUAAGACUAGUCUUCGCUGUAAAAAGCCAAAGCCAAAGUAAAAAUCAAUAACGAAAGUAACUCUAAUUUUUGUAGCACUAAAGCUAUUACCUAAACUGGGAUUAGAUACCCCACUAUAAUUAGCCAUAAACAUAAGUAGUUCAUAACAUUACUACUCGCCAGAGAACUACAAGCCACCGCUUAAAACUCAAAGGACUUGGCGGUGCUUUAUAUCCACCUAGAGGAGCCUGUUCCAUAACCGAUGAUCCCCGAUUUACCUCACCACUCCUUGCUAAUUCAGCCUAUAUACCGCCAUCUUCAGUUAACCCUAAAAAGGAAAUAAAGUAAGCCUAAUCAGUAUUACUAAAGAAGUUAGGUCAAGGUGUAGCCCAUGGAGUGGAGCGAAAUGGGCUACAUUUUCUAUUACUAGAACAUUACGAAACUGUACGUGAAAUCCGUAGAAUAAAGGAGGAUUUAGUAGUAAAUUAAAACUAGAGUGUUUAAUUGAAUAGAGCAAUGAAGCACGCACACACCGCCCGUCACCCUCCUCAAUUUCUCAACAAUUAAAAGUACAUAACACUAAUUACAAAAGAUUGAGAGGAGACAAGUCGUAACAAGGUAAGUGUACUGGAAAGUGCACUUGGAAAAAUCAAAAUAUAGCUUAAAAAAAGCAUCUGACUUACACUCAGAAGAUUUCACACUCUAUGAAUAUUUUGAACCAUACCUAGCCUAACAAAUCAUAAAAUUUACUAUAUUACCUUCAUGUAAACUAAAUCAUUUACUAACUAUAUUAGUAUAGGCGAUAGAAAAUUUAAUUUAGCGCUAUAGAAAUAGUACCGUAAGGGAAUGAUGAAAGAUAAACCUAAGUAUAAAAAAGCAAAGAUUCAACCUUAUACCUUUUGCAUAAUGAGCUAACUAGAAAACACCUGACAAAGAGAACUUAAGCCAGAGACCCCGAAAUCAGACGAGCUACCUUAGAACAGCCUACCACAGGGCCAACUCAUCUAUGUGGCAAAAUAGUGAGAAGAUUUUAAGGUAGAGGUGAAAAGCCUAACGAGCCUGAUGAUAGCUGGUUGUCCAAGAAAGAAUCUUAGUUCACCUUAAAACUUACCUGCAUUUCCAAAAUAAAAUUACUGUAAGUUUUAAAGCUAACCUAAAGAGGUACAGCUCUUUAGAUAGAGGAUACAACCUAAAGUAAAGAGUAAUUGAUACAAUAUUCAUAGUAGGCCUAAAAGCAGCCAUCAAUUAAGAAAGCGUUAAAGCUCAACACUAUUAUAUAAUUUAUUCCAAUAAUAUAUUACAUCUCUUACAAAAUAACUGGACCAAUCUAAUUAAUAUUAGAUGAAAUACUGUUAGUAUAAGUAAUAAGAAAAAUUUUCUCCUAGCACAAGUGUAUAACAGAACGAAUAAAUCGCUGAUAGUUAACAAUCAUACAUUUCCACCUAAACUACUAGAACCAAUGUUACUAAUUUAUUGUUAGCCCAACACAGGAGUGCAAACUAGGAAAGAUUAAUAAAUGUAAAAGGAACUCGGCAAACUUAAACCCCGCCUGUUUACCAAAAACAUCACCUCUAGCAUUACCAGUAUUAGAGGCACCGCCUGCCCAGUGACGCAAGUUAAACGGCCGCGGUAUCCUGACCGUGCAAAGGUAGCAUAAUAAUUUGUUCCUUAAUUAGGGACUUGUAUGAAUGGCAUCACGAGGGUUUAACUGUCUCUUACAUUCGAUCAAUGAAAUUGACCUUUCCGUGAAGAGGCGGAAAUAACACAAUAAGACGAGAAGACCCUAUGGAGCUUAAAUUAAUAUUCCAACUUAAACAACUUCAAAUCUAAUCGAUGUAAAAUCUGCAACCACUGGAAUAAACAUUUUGGUUGGGGUGACCUCGGAGCAUAAAAAAACCUCCGAAGGACUAACAUUAAGACCAACUAGUCCAAAUUAUAAAUGUCCAAAUAUUGACCCAGAAAUAAUUCUGAUCAAUGAACCAAGUUACCCUAGGGAUAACAGCGCAAUCUGUUAAAGAGUUCAUUGA
rfam:Dipodomys ordii ctg_broad_rename0031287, whole genome shotgun sequence.